UUCACCAGUACAUGCAUGCUUUCAAGUGGAUACAGAACAAUGAAUUGACUUUCUCUACAGAAACUACUGGAGAUAAUAUACCAAUCAAUAUAACAUGACUUGAAAAGAAAACAGACAGUUGGCAUACAACUCUUGUCAAAUGACGUUAUAUCGAAUUGAAACCGACAUAGUUUGGGUUGAAAGUUUCAUAAAAAAGAGCCAUGCAUCACUGGCAAUGUUGCUUCAUUUGCUAAAAGCAACAAAGUUACACCCUUAGCAAGAGUAUAAGCUCACCAGGGAUACAAGCGACUCAUAAGCUGGCCGAAAAAUCUGCAGUCUCCUAGUUCUUUCAGCUUCAGCAGAUGACUCAUUGCCGUGAGAAACAUAGGAAUCCCUGAC
rnacentral:lncRNA from 1 species